rnacentral:rRNA from 1 species
UACGGGGGGAGCAAGCGUUGUUCGGAUUUACUGGGCGUAAAGGGCGCGUAGGCGGCCAGCACAAGUCAGUUGUGAAAUCUCCGAGCUUAACUCGGAAAGGUCAACUGAUACUGUGCGGCUAGAGUGCGGAAGGGGCAACUGGAAUUCUUGGUGUAGCGGUGAAAUGCGUAGACAUCAAGAGGAACACCUGCGGCGAAGGCGGGUUGCUGGGCCGACACUGACGCUGAUGCGCGAAAGCUAGGGGAGCGAACGGG